rnacentral:tRNA from 1 species
GCCGGGAUGGCGGAAUCGGUAGACGCAGCGGACUCAAAAUCCGCCGGCCGCAAGGCUGUGAGGGUUCGAGUCCCUCUCCCGGCACCA